rnacentral:rRNA from 1 species
CCUACGGGCGGCAGCAGUGAGGAAUAUUGGUCAAUGGGCGCGAGCCUGAACCAGCCAAGUAGCGUGAAGGAUGACUGCCCUACGGGUUGUAAACUUCUUUUAUAAAGGAAUAAAGUGAGGAACGAGUGCCUUUUUGUAUGUACUUUAUGAAUAAGGAUCGGCUAACUCCGUGCCAGCAGCCGCGGUAAUACGGAGGAUCCGAGCGUUAUCCGGAUUUAUUGGGUUUAAAGGGAGCGUAGAUGGGUUGUUAAGUCAGUUGUGAAAGUUUGCGGCUCAACCGUAAGAGUGCAAUUGAUACUGGCAGCCUAGAGUACAGGUGGGGUAGGCGGAAUUCGUGGUGUAGCAGUGAAAUGCUUAGAUAUCGCGAAGAACUCCGAUUGCGAAGGCAGCUUACUAAACAUCCACUGACAUUGAUGCACGAAGGUGAGGGGAUCAAACAGGAUUAGAUACCCUUGUAGUC